AUUGAACGCUAGCGGGAUGCUUUACACAUGCAAGUCGAACGAGUGGCGGACGGGUGAGUAAUAUAUCGGAACGUGCCCAGUAGCGGGGGAUAACUACUCGAAAGAGUGGCUAAUACCGCAUACUAUGGGCGGGGCCGAUAUCGGAUUAGCUAGUUGGUGGGGUAAAGGCUCACCAAGGCAACGAUCCGUCGCUGGUUUGAGAGGACGACCAGCCACACUGGGAAUGAGACACGACCCAGACUCCUACGGGAGGCAGCAGUGGGGAAUUUUGGACAAUGGGGGAAACCCUGAUCCAGCCAUCCCGCGUGUAUGAGAAGGCCUUCGGGUUGUAAAGUACUUUUGGCAGAGAAGCGGUAUCUGCAGAAUAAGCACCGGCUAACUACGUGCCAGCAGCCGCGGUAAUUC
rnacentral:rRNA from 1 species